AAUACUGUGCAGAGUAGAGGAAAAAUGCUCUCCCCUCCUUCCUGCCCCCUUUCCUCUAACAUCAGUCCUGUAAUACCUGGCAGUGCCUAAAAAUGUAAUUGCUGCUGGGAAGAUUUGUUUGUGCUGGGAACCUGAGUCAUAACUGUUCAGUCAGUGUUCUUUCAGAGAGCUUGCUAAGAACGGGGAGGCGGGGGGAAGAGUGGAGUGCUGUAUCAAGUAUUGUCAGCUCAGAAGUAGAGUCAUCUUACUGGAGCACUAAUGCAUAUAUUACAAUUUCAGGAAUCAGUCAAGAGGAAAGUAGGUGUUUGCUGGAAGCCACCCAAGAUCCAGUAAACUCACACUGUGCUCUGCUGGCGUUCAUUACUAAGGAAGGUUUUCAGUAAAUAUGAACAACACAUUCAAUUUAAUAAAAAGGUAAUUGUAUUACAAGAGACACCAUGACAACUGGCACCAUUUGUUGAGACACAUCAGCACAGAGGUGCAAGCUAAAGCGGAUUGCUGAAAGGAGAUGAAAAGAUGUCACCUUUAAGUCUGAAAGAGGGAGGUAAAAUCAUAGCCUGGCUGGUGGGGACCUAAAACUCGAUGGGUCACAGCCUGGGACGUAUUGAGUAUAUGCAACUUCUAUUGGCGUCAAAUGCUAGUAAGCAGGUGCUCAGCACCUUUGACCAGCAGGGAUUUGUUCUCCCAGGUCACAACCAAGGCUAGGGGGAAAAAAAUGGAACCAAUUGAGAA